rnacentral:rRNA from 1 species
CCUACGGGUGGCAGCAGUGGGGGAUAUUGCACAAUGGGGGAAACCCUGAUGCAGCGACGCCGCGUGUGGGAAGACGGUCCUCUGGAUUGUAAACCACUGUCCCCCGGGACGAAGAUGACGGUACCUGGGGAGGAAGCUCCGGCUAACUACGUGCCAGCAGCCGCGGUAAUACGUAGGGAGCGAGCGUUGUCCGGAAUUACUGGGUGAAAAGGGAGCGUAGGCGGGACUGCAAGUUGGGUGGCAAAUCUACGGGCUCAACCGGUAGCCGCACUCAAAACUGCAGUUCUUGAGUGAAGUAGAGGCAGGCGGAAUUCCUAGUGUAGCGGUGAAAUGCGUAGAUAUUAGGAGGAACACCAGUGGCGAAGGCGGCCUGCUGGGCUUUUACUGACGCUGAGGCUCGAAAGUGUGGGGAGCAAACAGGAUUAGAUACCCUGGUAGUC